rnacentral:tRNA from 1 species
GGCCUUGUAGUUUAAUGGUAAAACAUGUUACGCCCUUCAUUGAGCGGAAGGAAGAAGGUUGUUCGAUUCCUCCCAACGCCA